GAGCUUAACUUUUAUACAAUUAUUUUUCACCAAUUAAUGGAACAACUUUAGGGGGCGUCGUGAAAAAAAUUCGGAAAAAAUUUGUCACCGAGUAUAAAUAAGUUUCAAGUCUGGUUAUGGUGCGACGGAGUGAAUAAUGUUGACAAAGAGCACGUCGGAGAAAUUGAGUACUUACCAAAUCCUGGCUUUUCUGUGGAAUAUUUCCCGUUUGUGGGACAAUCAGAUUAUUUGGCACCAGUAGUCGCACUGCGUUUUAAAAACAUCACAUCAUUUAGGUUAGUGACAGUAGAAUGCAGCUUGUGGGCGCUUAACAUUAACAAAGAUGCACAGAACGCAUUGGAUUUUCAAAUAAUUCUGGGCGAACCAUAAAUGGCGGUGGUCGACAAAUGUUUAUGUAUUUCAAAUAUUUAUUAACAAAUAUAUAUGUUUCACAUAUAAUAAGAAAUUAUGGAAUAAUUACUUACUUUGUGCAGAAUAAAAAGUAAAUUUUCUUUUGUUCGAAAUUUUUAUAAAUUAACUUGUAUUAAAUAUUUAUUCUAAAUUAUAAAAAAAUAGUCUCGCGAUCAAUGAUUCCUUUAUUAUAUAUUACAUGUUACAUUAAUAAUACAGGAAGAUGUAUUUUCCAGAUUUCCAUUUUGUUUACAGAAUAUACAGAACGUAAUAUGAAAUAUCUUUAUAAAAAAAAUGGAAGCAGCAAAUAUACGUAUGAUAAUGUGUGUUUUUUUAAAUGGAUUCAAACUGCCGUGUUCAGAUUUUACUGAGAUGGCAAGUAUAUAAUGUCUAAAUGUUCAUCUCUUAUAAAUUGAAAGGCUAAAUUAAUUUUAUUGACAGAAUGGUGACUCGAGACCAUGAUGAGUUCCAUUUACAGAAUAAUUUAAU